rnacentral:rRNA from 1 species
AUAUCACUAAGCGGAGGAAAAGAAACUAACUAGGAUGCCUCAGUAACGGCGAGUGAAGCGGCCAGAGCCCAAGAUGGUAAUCUCCGUGCUCUGCACGGCGAAUUGUAAUCUAGAGAGCCUAUGCUCAACGAGUGGUGGCGCAGAAGUGCCCUGGAACGGGCCGCCAAAGAGGGGUGGC